rnacentral:ncRNA from 1 species
CGAUAGAGGCGCGGCCGUCAUCAGUAGCUCCCGGCGGGGCAGGAAUGCCCCGGGCGACAGGAAUCGCAGGGAGGGAAAGGGAUCGCCGCCGAAGGCUCCUCCGGUUUCCUGGCCGGGCGGCGCCUGGGCCGUCGGAGAACAUCCGCCGGACUGUCGUAGGCAACUACGGAGCGCUGUCA